rnacentral:rRNA from 1 species
UACGAGGGGUGCAAGCGUUGCCCGGAAUUAUUGGGCGUAAAGGGUAGGUAGGUGGUCUCAUUUGUCUGAGGUGAAAGCCUUGAGCUUAACUCAAGAAGUGCCUUAGAAACGGUGAGACUGGAGUCCUGGAGAGGGUCGUGGAAUUCCCGGUGUAGCGGUGAAAUGCGUAGAGAUCGGGAGGAACACCAGCGGCGAAGGCGGCGACCUGGACAGGUACUGACACUCAACUACGAAAGCGUGGGUAGCAAACAGG